GAUGAACGCUGGCGGCGUGCCUAAUACAUGCAAGUCGGGCGAACGGACGAGAAGCUUGCUUCUCUGAUGUUAGCGGCGGACGGGUGAGUAACACGUGGAUAACCUACCUAUAAGACUGGGAUAACUUCGGGAAACCGUAGCUAAUACCGGAUAAUAUUUUGAACCGCAUGGUUCAAAAGUGAAAGACGGUCUUGCUGUCACUUAUAUAUGGAUCCGCGCUGCAUUAGCUAGUUGGUAAGGUAACGGCUUACCAAGGCAACGAUGCAUAGCCGACCUGAGAGGGUGAUCGGCCACACUGGAACUGAGACACGGUCCAGACUCCUACGGGAGGCAGCAGUAGGGAAUCUUCCGCAAUGGGCGAAAGCCUGACGGAGCAACGCCGCGUGAGUGAUGAAGGUCUUCGGAUCGUAAAACUCUGUUAUUAGGGAAGAACAUAUGUGUAAGUAACUGUGCACAUCUUGACGGUACCUAAUCAGAAAGCCACGGCUAACUACGUG
rnacentral:rRNA from 1 species